UGCUCGUCCCUAGGCUACGCGGACGACCUGACUGUAGCUGCCAACUCCCGAGACAACCUUAGGUGCCAAACUGACAAGAUCGCCCGGUACGCUGCCUGGGGCGGCAUGCGCAUCAACCGCGACAAGAGCGCGUGCACUGGCAUACUACACCACUAUGCAAGCGCCAACAGUACGGACAAGAGCAUUAAGGGCCCCUCCUGUGACCGCACCCUCAAACGCCUCCUGGCGGGCCACAUCCACGUCGGCACAUGCACCAAAGACGGCAAGCGAUCCGCCAUCAAGCGGUCAAAGCCGACCUGACCGACGCCGGCGAGGAGCUGAGCAGGUACCGAAAACUCCCACGCCAAUGCUACAUGCUCAUCAAACAGUGCCUGAAAGCCAAAGUGGCCUACUCCUUACCAACCAUGGCCUACACGCAGCCAGACAUUCGGGCCUUGGACGCCCAAAUCGCAGGCAUCGCUCGAAGAUGCGUCGGUCUACCACGCGAUUGCGCCACCCGCGCCAUCCUACUACCCGCCGAGCUAGGCGGUCUCGGGAUCGGCUCACUCCGGGAAGAAUACGUGCAGAGAGCCUCGAGGCUACUUGUAAUCUCGCUCAACGACACCGGCCGGCUUGGUGUCGUGACACGCCGCCUGCUCCACCUACAGGCCGCGCACGCAGGAAGUGACCUCCCACUGCACGACAUGAAAAGGGCGGGUCAAUUUUUUGUCACCCUUAAACAACUCACACUUCUACAGGACCACGACCUACUUGCCAUGCUGCAAGGCAAAGAAUUCACUGCCGCCCUACCAGCCCUUGUCUCUAAACUACGGGCCGCUGAAGCCACCACGCCCGCCUACCUUCGCGCCGACUGGAUCAGCCCCUUGACCAUCGACCUUGGACUGAACUUGGCGGACCUGGUGGACGCAAACACAGGGCGGCACAUUAUUGACACCACGCAGCUUGACCGGCGGUUCCCAAAAGGCAGGGUGAAAGACAAGCACAAGAGGGCCUUAAACCGAUUUACCGUCGCCCUAUGUAAACCGUCAGAAGCACCCCCCAAAUCUAUGGGCCACAAACCCCUCCCCAUGCAAAGCCGCACCCUGCCCGCCGGCGUCUCCAAGGCCGACCUCAAUUCAGCUGGAGACCUACCUAAACCCAUACCCCAACGAACUCUCACCUCCCUCCUGGCCCGCUGGCAAGAGGCACUACCGAGCCCCGCGGCUCCACCAAAACCUUCCCUAGAAGUCCUGCAGGCAAAACCGAAGCAAACGGCAAAGCAACGUCAUUCUCACUUCAUCAAACACGACACACGCACAAGAAACCCCGAGGUCGAAGCCAAUGACGACGCCCUACCCGGCUCUACGGUUCAUGACCCCUCCGACCCCACAAAGGACCUAGCUUUCUACAUGAGUGCCGCGAGGGAGUUCGCCCCACUCGCUCAACAAUGCAAAACCCUAGGGACCACGCGAUGGACGGGGACCUGGAGGUCCCCAAUCAGGCAAAUGCCAGCCCGCGCACUAAUCACCGGCCCACACACCCACACAGUCCACGCGCUACUACAUACCCGGCCAUACCAGCAACCUGCUGCUCCCACGUACCAGCGGCUGUACCUACCCGAUGGCUGCCCAGCCACAACCCCACCGCCCGCGCCCGCACACUCGCAUAACCGGCGUAAACGCGGCUCCCAGCCCACCCGCUGCCCAUACACUCACCAUGCUAUUCAGCCGCAGGCCCCUACACGGGCAGCCGCACCCAGGAGAGACAGCGCAGCCGCGCAGCCAAGCUCCCGCCCUGCGUGGCGCAAAGUCAGAGACAAUGCGCUGAAUGGCCGCCUACCCCAGUCCAUCGCUGGGGUACAGGCAGCACAGCACAUCACCGCCCAUCUAACUAACCGCGACGACAUUAUUGCAGCCGUCGUCAGCGGACCCAUGACCCACAAAACUAACGCCCCGCCGCCCAAGCGAAAACGAAAGCAGGGCCCACCGCCCGAGGAGCCCCCCUGGGCAGAACGCUGUCGCUAUAGGGUUCGGUGGCAACCCACCCUGACCACAAACGGCAUCCUCCGAGCCUACGAGCUACAGAACUACAACGCCACUAGCACAACCAAACCCCUGUGCCGACUAUGGGGGCAAGGCAUCCGGCGCUUCAUGGUCCAAGUGCACUGGGCUGAAACGGAAGACCCCCUCUCCUCACUCUCCGAAAACCCCGGGUGGGCGGCCGCCCUGGCACGCUACACUCUUGCCCAAGCCGUAGACGCGCCCCCUGACCCUACCCCGCCUCCCGCCCUCGACAAUCACCUCACCAGUAAGCAGCGCCAGGGGAGAUGGCGAGACCCAGCACCCAGCGAAGCCGCACGCAAACGUGCGAUCCUCCGGUGCAGCACCAUCGAUGUCAAAUCCUGUAACCCGGACACAGACAUCCACCCGACAGGUCAAUACUGUAUCCAAGUGGGCACACGUGAGCCGGGCAGCGCCACAGGCACGCCGUCCGGCCCCCCCCAAGACCCCGACCCCCCCGCUAGGGUCUACGGCCCGGACGGACGCUGCAUAGGAACCGUUAGCGCUGCCCGACUUGCCCUACUCCACGCCCGGUACAGGACCCUUAACCCCACUCACCCCCCGGAAAGGUUCGCUGCCGCCCUGGCCUCCCUGAUUAUACAGUACCGCCCCAGCAAACGCCACAAGGAGAGUUCCACCAACCCAGCGCACGAGGUCACCCUCUGCCCCGACCUAAUGUCCACUCUCACGUCCCAUAUCAAGUUCCAGACGGAGGCAUUCGCAUCUCCCCUCAACGCCCACUGCGACAUCCCGGCAUACUACACUAUCCACCCGCAAGAUUCAGAGUUCGGGGCCGCCCAUGACUGCUACAGCCGCACGCUAGAUGGAAUCUCCUUCGUUCACCCACCCCCACAACCCGAGCACACCAGCCUGGCCAUGGCGUGGGCGGUCGCCAGCGCCGAGGCGGCAACACCGCACACACCGCACCUGUCCGUCGUGGUGGUCCCGUAUGGCGACACUAGCGGCUACACAGCCUGGCUCCAGCACCCACUGGUCCACGACCUGGGGCACAUCAAACCGGCGCACGCCUGGGCAGGCCUGGCCCCAGGCCUAGGCCAGCCGCAGGAGCUCCCCGCUCACCGACGUGGACUCCACCUCCUGUGCGUGACAAACGAAAGGGGCCGCCUCCUCCUCAAUCAGGCCCUGGAGAGUGGGCUUGCACUCGCCCUAGCGGACGCGCUCGGGCACACCCCGCACCUAGCUACCUGUAAACCCCCCACGGACCCAGACACACCCAACCCGUGGCCCCCAACCCCCCGGAAGUUAAAACGGCGCAUCCUCGCCCAGAGCAGCCAGACGCCCCAGCCCCAGCCCCCUCGCGAUGCCCCCACCCUACCAUCCCCUACGGAGCUUGCAACCCUCUACCGCGCUUAUGUCCCGCUCGCACACACACGAGGCUCCGCGGUCUUUACCGACGGGAGCAAAGUACCACACACACGAGAGUACACUGGCCUGGGAGCGGCGGUCUGGGACGCCAGCGACAACCGCGCCACGCACAUUGAUGAAGACAUCGCCUUCAACACACCCCUGAGCACCAUCCUUCGGUGUGAAUCAUCCGCCAUACGCACGGCGCUCCGCCUCCAUCGAGAAUAAUAAUAAUAAUAAUAAUAAUAAUAAUAAUAAUAAUAAUAAUAAUAAUAAUAAUAAUAAUAAUAAUAAUAAUAAUAAUAAUAAUAAUAAUAAUAAUAAUAAUAAUAAUAAUAAUAAUAAUAAUAAUAAUAAUAAUAAUAAUAAUAAUAAUAAUAAUAAUAAUAAUAAUAAUAAUAAUAAUAAUAAUAAUAAUAAUAAUCCCAACGCUGGCCCAUAGGGCCUAGCAUGUAUUAACGGGGCAACGCCUUCGCUGAUCAUCUCUCAACCCAGUUCGAGAGAAGGCGGGAAGUCACCACGACCACCUUAUCAUUUGCCGGUCCUGCCCACCGGUGGGAGCGGGGUGGAUUAAGCCCCUGGUGUCCUAUCCAUGUUCAGCUCGGAUGAUCUACCCUCACGGCUUUUGGUACCUGAGAUCGGGGGAUCAGGUAAUGCCGACUGUCGGGCAACAUCUCAACUGAAACUCUGGAUCGCUCCAGAGUCCGGCCCCUUUGCCGGCACUUCACGACCGCUCUCUUAUCUGACGUUAGCCACGGAUGACAAGGACACGACUGAAGAGCCGUGCGGUCCCUGUGGAGCGCCUGUGCGUGAUUUGAAUACGCACGGAGGUUUCCCCUGUACCGAAUUUGGGGAGGAUCGAACUCGGGUCUGAACCGACGUUACACACCAACUUAUCGCUAAGCAACCUCUGCCGUGGUCGAUGCCUCCAUCGAGACACACCUCACCUACGGGUCUACACCGACAGUCUUGUCAGUCUGUUCAUCCUCCGCCGCGCCAUUAUGGAGCCCGAGUCACUCCACGUAAGCAAGCACCGCGAGAUGUUUGGGACCAUAGUCGACCAACUUGCGGAACGUGCCCUAGCUGGACACAAGACAUCAUUUUAUCACGUAAGGUCGCACCAGACAGACACAUGCGUAGGAAAUCAGAAAGCGGAUGAAGCGGCACAGGCUGUGGCCACCAGAACAGUGCAGCCGGAUGCGACAGAAACUCUAUACUCGCACCCAUAUG
rnacentral:lncRNA from 1 species